GAUCCAACAAAGAUGAAUUUUCAUUGCUAUAGUGAUCCUCCCUGCGACGGAAAGCUGAGAUGGCCAGAGCUGGUGGGUGCAACAAUAGCCAAAGCAAAAGCAAAAAUCAUGAAAGACCAUUCGGAUCCUGACCUCAAAAUUUUCAUCGUGCGGCCAAACAUGGUAGCCCGCGCUGACUACUGCUGCAACCGAGUUCAACUCUCUGUUAACUGGUCUGGAAUUGUUAAUAGCGUACCCUAUAUCGGGUGAUGUUGAACUUUUACAGUUACAGAUACUGCACCUGGAGAACAGAGAUAUAUGAUGCAGGUUGUUGUACUGUAGAAUAAGGAAAUUCUGUGUUUUACUUCAUUUGCAGGAGAAUAAUAACAAAAUGAGUGUUCUUGAAUUUUAUUCUUUAACGAACAUGAUUACAACAUUCGAGUA